GAGAAUUAAGGAUGAAUUUGUUUGGUUAACCAAUCGUGAGUUUUAUGUUAAACACUAAAUCAAAAAUGUAUAAGAAAGUGAUUUGUGAUUUGAAAAAUUAUGAAAACUUUAUAACAAAUUUGCAUCAAAAUAAAAUAAAGUGGUAGACAAGAUAUUAUGCAAAAUAGAAAUUGUUUUCUUGUUCAUUAAUCCUCGGAUUUUUAUUAAACUCAAAUUAUGCCAUAAAAGAUUUUUAGAAACUUAAAUUAAAAUUUAUAUAAUUAUCAUUGUAUUUCAAAAUUCUUCUGAAAUUAUAUAAUACCAAGAAUUUUGAUUUUUAAAUAUUUAAAACUUUAAGUUUAAUUUAAUAAUUAUGGUUAUUAUUAAAAUCACAAAAUUAUAAAAAUAAUACAUAAUUUCAUACAAUAUUUAUAUCCGCAAAAUUGCGGGCAAUCACCUAGUCUUCUAUAUUAUAACGAAAGAGUUUACACUCUCUUCAAAGUGUCUACGCGUCUUUCUUAAUUUUAUGUGGAUUCCACUGAAACAAUAAAUAUUCCUUAGAUAAAUUAAUUUUGUGCUGUGUUUUCGAUAUCUUAUUUGUCUUUUAGUUUGGGUUAUCCAAUAUAUAUCAUCGCCAUAGGUCCAUAAACGAAUUCAAUAAUUCUUCCAGCCCAUUGGCAAGCUUACUUAUUAAUGAUGUUGUCGUUUCAACCCAAAGACAUCCAAACUAUGAGUUUAAGGUUUCACUCAAUUAGAUCUGAAGUCGCCUCCAUCUUAGACGAUCCAACAUCACUGUCUUCGCCAUUGUUACAAUAGAAACUUCGUUUUGUCAACUUUUGAUCUCCCCUAUUUCUUCAAUUUCGUCUCUUGCUUAUUCUUCAUUCAAUGUUUCACUCUUAACAUAUACAAUGGAUCUUCAGUUUACAUUGAAAUCAUUAAUUCCCACUAACUCUCUCUCCCCCUACAUUUACAAUCGAAGCUUCAUGCAUGUGAAAAACCGAUAAAAACCUCAAACCAUAUAAAUAGGAGAGGCUAAUGACUGGAAUCACGCCCCACAAACACCCUCUCUCAGUUUAUCUUCACUUGAAAAUCCAGAAGCCAUCUUGGAAAAUGUCUACCUGUUGUUGUUGCACAUACAGCCGUCAGCCACUCAGCCUCCAACGCUCUCUGACUUGGCCUCACUUCUUUGUUGUUCGCCUCAUCUGCUUUUGGGAUUCACAUAACAUCAAGAAAAUAAUGAAUUUAUGGGAAUCACCCUCCUUUGCCUAGAUGAAAAGGUGGCACUCGCAAAACUAUUUUAACUCUCCAAAUCCGGUGACGUUUGCGAACUCUCAAGAAUACAUCCGGAUCGGUCUUCAAGUGAACAUGUCGGAGGAGAACAUCGGGCGAAGAUGUUGUAGAUUUGUCGGAAGCAUAUGGCAGAGGAUCAUGUUCUGAACUCAAACUCUCGUCUUUGCGGCGGAGAGAAGGUGUUGGAGACAUUGAUGAUACUUGAAGAUGGAGAAGAAGAAGAGAAGAGAUUGAUUUUCAUGUAUGUAAUUGUCAUCACAAUCACUAGACAUAAUCUGUGUUGACUAUGUUUUUGAUUCAGAUAUGAGCAAAUCUUGAUUUGUCUCA